AGAGGUGGCAAGCGUUAUCCGGAUUUACWGGGUGUAAAGGGCUGGUAGGCGGUGAUGCAAGUCCUGCGUGAAAUGCUGAGGCUCAACCUCAGCGCUGCGCUGGAAAMUGCGUCACUCGAGUGUGGGAGAGGAAGGCGGAAUUUCCAGUGUAGCGGUGAAAUGCGUAGGUACUGGAAGGAACACCAGCGGCGAAGGCGGCCUUCUGGACCAACACUGACGCUGAGCAGCGAAAGCUAGGGGAGCAAACGGGAUUAGAUACCCCGGUAGUCCUAGCCGUAAACGAUGGGCACUAGGCGUGGGAGGCAUCGACCCCUUCCGUGCCGCAGCUAACGCGAUAAGUGCCCCACCUGGGGACUACGGCCGCAAGGUUG
rnacentral:rRNA from 1 species